UACGUAGGGGGCUAGCGUUGUUCGGAAUCACUGGGCUUAAAGGGCGCGUAGGCGGGUCUUCAAGUUUGGGGUGAAAUCCUCCGGCUCAACCGGAGAACUGCCUCGAAUACUGAAGGUCUCGAGGGGGAUAGGGGCAUGCGGAACUACGGGUGGAGCGGUGAAAUGCGUUGAUAUCCGUAGGAACUCCGGUGGCGAAGGCGGCGUGCUGGAUCCCUUCUGACGCUGAGGCGCGAAAGCCAGGGGAGCAAACGGG
rnacentral:rRNA from 1 species